rfam:Larimichthys crocea isolate SSNF unplaced genomic scaffold scaffold326, whole genome shotgun sequence.
UGUUUCCCGUUUUGUAAGUCGCUUUGGAUAAAAGUGUCUGCUAAAUGACUACAU